UGUUUAUGUAUAUGAGCGAACAGUGAUAUACACUCUAUAUAAAACAUAUAUAAAACAGCAAAAAGGUGACUGAUGUUCACUUGUAGUCAUGUACUAUUUAAUCAGGAAGUAGUACAAAGUCGUGAUAGUGAAUCGCACUGAUUGAGGCGGAUUGAUCUCGAACUCACGUGGAGAGUUUAUUUGCAUAUCAAAUUCGUUAAUGAAUCAGCAGGGGAGAUACAGCUCUGAAUAGACUGUGAUCCAGGCUGUGUUCAUUAAUACAGGGUGGAAGAUUGUGCUACACAAACUGUCAAUGGAGCGUGAAAUUCGGCCAGCCAUGCAUUAUGGAUGGGGCAAAGUCCACCUUAUUUUUAGAUCGCAGCUCUCAUGGAGCUGCAGUACAGUGCAUUGUGUGCU